rnacentral:lncRNA from 1 species
GUAAGGGAAGGCAGUGAGGCGAGGCGUGAUACAGAGAGAGAGAGAGAGAGAGAGAGAGAGAGAGAGAGAGAGAGAGAGAGAGAGAGAGAGAGAGAGAGAGAGAGAGAGAGAGAGAGAGAGAGAGAAUAAAAAACCACGACAUUACAGCCGUAUAAUGUGGAUAGGAAGCACGGAUCUGUGAAAUUAAAUGGGGGAGACUCCCUUAAAGAUCUUAACAGCAUUUACGUAUGUACUGCUUGAUCUGGGAGGGCCACUGAUGAAGUGAGAGAGAGAGAGAGAGAGAGAGAGAGAGAGAGAGAGAGAGAGAGAGAGAGAGAGAAAAGGCAUUGCUGUUUCCUCUCUUCUUUUUUUUUUUUUCAUUCCUCUUCCUCCCAUUCCUCUCCCUCUAACCUUGCCUCGUCUCCACCUCUUCUCUCAUUGUACUCUUCCAUCGCCUCCACCUCAGUGCUACAUUACCUCCUCCCAGCUACAUAGUUCUGCAAGUCCUCCUCCCUUGUUUUAUCUCACCUCCUCCUUAUCGCCGGAUCGCCUCGCCUCCUCGUCCUCUCUAGCGCUGACUCUCCUCCCUCCCCAUCCCCACGUACGCUUGCCUGUGAAUCCCAAGGAGCCUUCGCUGAGCCCAGUGACGAGCAACAAACAGCUCGGGGGGAUCAGACUGAUUACCGGCGGCGGAGGAGGAGGCUUGGCGGCACGUCCCGUCCUCUCUGUUAUGGCUGGGACACGCCCUCCCCUCCUCCAGCCAGGCACGGCUGUCACUACUGCGUCGUUUAGUGUCAGUAUUAUUUUUCGCCGCCGCAGCACUGUCGCUCAAAACACAGGUGCUCUCCUGCUGUUUUGACCCGCUGCGGAAUGUUUACAGCGCUGAUCUCACGUAUUGGUGUGGCUGCAGCGUUUAUUCUUAAGACGAAACAUUUUUUUUCUUAUUUUCUUCUCUAUAUUCGUCUUUCAGUGUACAUAUCUAGAGCGAGUGUGUCUCAGCUUUACAAAUACAACAUUUAUGAAGGAAAGAAGUGCACAGUAUUAGUUCCACAUCACGUGUUAGUAUGACAACAGCAGGUUCUCUUGUAACAACAGAUUUUUCUUCCUUGUAACAAUACCAGUGAAGUGUGCUAGGUCAUGCGAUGGACAACAUUAGGGACACUGAUGGAUGCAGUACGCAGAAAUGCGAUAAGAAAUGGAGUAGUUUACAUACCGAUGCAAGACAGGAAGUCAACAGGUGUUUCUUUAAGGAUGUCUAGCAAGUGUGUAUUCGCAUAUGAAAACAUUAUUAUACGACGGAGGAAUGCCCCUAAACGAAAGCAUGGUAGGAAUCAGAGCAGUAAACACGCUUAAGCAAUAACAAGAGGAAAUUCAUACGUGUUCUUGAAGCGAUGCAAUGCCUGGCCAGUGCGUCGAAGGAUUUGAAGGACAGUGUUUCAUGGCAGAGAAUCAGAGAAGUUUACUUAAUGAAAACUCUGUAGAAAGGAAAACAUUAAACACGCUGGAGUACGAGACCAAAAAGAAAAAAAAAAAAAUCAAUACGUUUCCUGCAAGCGAUGAAAGGUUCCAAUAACAAACUGCAGUGAAUGUUCCUUUUAUCAUGCAUGAAGGGAAGGAGAACAGACGGGGACACAAAAUCCGUUAAAUAAAUAAAUGAAUAAAAGAAUAAUGGCCUCUAAUUUACCACGCUCACCAAAAAAAAAAAAAAAGAAAAAGAAAAAUAGAUAAAUAGGAAAGCUUUCUAUAAUGCAUGUAAAUAACGUCAGAAUAUACUUCAGUAAAGCACAAUAGAAAAAUGAACAUAAAAACACAACAAUUAGAUGACGCGGGAACAACAGUGUACCAAUACAAAGAAAUAUACAACUCCUGACCUAACCUAACCUAACCUAACCAAAAUAACGUCAGAAUAUACUUUAGUAAAACACAAU